rnacentral:rRNA from 1 species
GGUCUCAGUUCAGAUUACAGGCUGCAACCCGCCUGCAUGAAGUCGGAAUUGCUAGUAAUCGCGGAUCAGCAUGCCGCGGUGAAUACGUUCCCGGGCCUUGUACACACCGCCCGUCACACCAUGGGAGCCGGUAAUACCCGAAGUCAGUAGUCCAACCUCGUGAGGACGCUGCCGAAGGUAGGAUUGGCGACUGGGGUGAAGUCGUAACAAGGUAUC